UACAGAGGGUGCAAGCGUUGUUCGGAAUUAUUGGGCGUAAAGCGCGUGUAGGCGGCUUUGCAAGUCGGGUGUGAAAGCCCUCGGCUCAACCGAGGAAGUGCGCCCGAAACUGCAGAGCUUGAGUACCGGAGAGGGUGGCGGAAUUCCCCAAGUAGAGGUGAAAUUCGUAGAUAUGGGGAGGAACACCGGUGGCGAAGGCGGCCAUCUGGACGGAUACUGACGCUGGAGACGCGAAAGCGUGGGUAGCAAACAGG
rnacentral:rRNA from 1 species